rnacentral:rRNA from 1 species
GACAGAGGUGCCAAGCGUUAGGCGGAAUCACUGGGCUUAAAGCGUGUGUAGGCGGAAUUGUAAGUACCUUGUGAAAUCGCCCGGCUCAACCGGGCGGGGUCGUUCAAUACUGCGCGGCUGGAGGAGGUCAGAGGGAAGUGGAAUUCCUGGUGUAGCAGUGAAAUGCGUAGAUAUCGGGAGGAACAUCUGUGGCGAAGGCGACACCCUGGACCAGCACUGACACUGAGGCACGAAAGCGUGGGGAGCAAACAGG